GAUGAACGCUGGCGGCGUGCUUAACACAUGCAAGUCGAACGGAAAGGCCACAGCUUGCUGUGGUACUCGAGUGGCGAACGGGUGAGUAACACGUGGGUGAUCUGCCCUGUACUUCGGGAUAAGCUUGGGAAACUGGGUCUAAUACCGGAUAGGAAUCACAUGUGGGUGUGUGGUUGGAAAGCUUUUGCGGUAUGGGAUGAGCUCGCGGCCUAUCAGCUUGUUGGUGGGGUAAUGGCCUACCAAGGCGUCGACGGGUAGCCGGCCUGAGAGGGUGUACGGCCACAUUGGGACUGAGAUACGGCCCAGACUCCUACGUGAGGCAGCAGUGGGGAAUAUUGCACAAUGGGCGCAAGCCUGAUGCAGCGACGCCGCGUGGGGGAUGACGGCCUUCGGGUUGUAAACUCCUUUCGUCAGGGACGAAGCGAAAGUGACGGUACCUGGAUAAGAAGCACCGGCUAACUACGUG
rnacentral:rRNA from 1 species